rnacentral:misc_RNA from 1 species
GAUGAAGAACGCAGCGAAAUGCGAUAGGUAAUGUGAAUUGCAGAAUUCAGUGAAUCAUCGAAUCUUUGAACGCACAUUGCGCCCGCCAGUAUUCUGGCGGGCAUGCCUGUCUGAGCGUCAUUUCAACCCUCAUGCCCCUAGGGCGUGGUGUUGGGGAUCGGCCAAAGCCCGCGAGGGACGGCCGGCCCCUAAAUCUAGUGGCGGACCCGUCGUGGCCUCCUCUGCGAAGUAGUGAUAUUCCGCAUCGGAGAGCGACGAGCCCCUGCCGUUAAACCCCCAACUUUCCAAGGUUGACCUCAGAUCAGGUAGGAAUACCCGCUGAACUUAAGCAUAUCAAUAAGCGGAGGA